rnacentral:rRNA from 1 species
GAUGAACGCUGGCGGUGUGCCUAAUACAUGCAAGUCGAGCGAACAGACGAGGAGCUUGCUCCUCUGACGUUAGCGGCGGACGGGUGAGUAACACGUGGAUAACCUACCUAUAAGACUGGGAUAACUUCGGGAAACCGGAGCUAAUACCGGAUAAUAUAUUGAACCGCAUGGUUCAAUAGUGAAAGACGGUUUUGCUGUCACUUAUAGAUGGAUCCGCACCGCAUUAGCUAGUUGGUAAGGUAACGGCUUACCAAGGCAACGAUGCGUAACCGACCUGAGAGGGUGAUCGGCCACACUGGAACUGAGACACGGUCCAGACUCCUACGGGAGGCAGCAGUAGGGAAUCUUCCGCAAUGGGCGAAAGCCUGACGGAGCAACGCCGCGUGAGUGAUGAAGGUCUUCGGAUCGUAAAACUCUGUUAUUAGGGAAGAACAAAUGUGUAAGUAACUAUGCACGUCUUGACGGUACCUAAUCAGAAAGCCACGGCUAACUACGUG